rnacentral:rRNA from 1 species
UACAAGUUCGAAACGGGAACUGCUUUCGGGAGUUUAGUGGGCGGACGGGUGAGUAACGCGCUGUUGUAAUCUGGCUUCAGGUUCGGGAUAACAGUUGGUAAACGGCUGCUAAUACCGGAUAUGCCUAAAGGUGAAAGAUUAAUUGCCUGAAGAUGAGCUCGCGUCCGAUUAGCUAGUUGGUGUGGUAAGAGCGCACCAAGGCGACGAUCGGUAGCUGGUCUGAGAGGACGAUCAGCCACACUGGGACUGAGACACGGCCCAGACUCCUACGGGAGGCAGCAGUGGGGAAUUUUCCGCAAUGGGCGAAAGCCUGACGGAGCAAUACCGCGUGAGGGAGGAAGGCUCUUGGGUUGUAAACCUCUUUUCUUAGGGAAGAAAUUUGACGGUACCUAAGGAAUCAGCAUCGGCUAACUCCGUGCCAGCAGCCGCGGUAAUACGGAGGAUGCAAGCGUUAUCCGGAAUGAUUGGGCGUAAAGCGUUCGUAGGUGGCUGUCCAAGUCUGCUGUUAAAGAGUCUGGCUUAACCAGAUAAAGGCAGUGGAAACUGGAGAGCUAGAGAGUGGUAGGGGUAGAGGGAAUUCCCAGUGUAGCGGUGAAAUGCGUAGAGAUUGGGAAGAACACCGGUGGCGAAAGCGCUCUACUGGACCAUAACUGACACUGAGGGACGAAAGCUAGGGGAGCGAAUGGGAUUAGAUACCCCAGUAGUCCUAGCCGUAAACGAUGGAUACUAGGCGUUGCUUGUAUCGACCCAGCAGUGCCGUAGCCAACGCGUUAAGUAUCCCGCCUGGGGAGUACGCACGCCAGUGUGAAACUCAAAGAAUUGACGGGGGCCCGCACAAGCGGUGGAGUAUGUGGUUUAAUUCCAUGCACCCGAAAAACUUUCCAGGGUUUGAAUUUCCG